AUUUCUUAAAUAUCUGCCAUUUUCCUUAAAUCAUAUUUUCUGCUGAACUCCUUUCCAAGUCCACUCCAGCCAUCUCUAUCGUCGUUCCUAUGCCAUUAUUUAAGUUUAGCACAAUAGUUUUUAAGACUUUUUUAUUGUAAGAUUAUUUAUUAAACCUGCCUCAUUACCAAGUCCAAAAAUGCCUCAUCCCUGGUUGGAUUCACAGCAUAUUGUUCGACGAAACCCAUUCUGAAUACUACAUUAAUUCUACUUUGUGGCUAUCUUUGGACAUUUGAUUUUACCAAACUACAAGCUAAAAGUCAUCCAGCAUUAAUGUGAAAUAAGUCAGUACCUGUGCUCAUUAACUGCAGCAUUAUUCUCUCUGUCUUACAGUACCAUCUGUUCGAGACCCGUAGACUACUCCCACUGGUCUUCUUCCUCUUGUUAUUUCUUACUUCCAUCCAUAUAGAUCUUACAUAUUCCAAUCCAACAUCAUUUCUUGCUAUCGUACUAAUUUCAUCACUUACUAACAAAACUACUUCACUAUUUAUUGUUUGGAAAAGUCACAUUCCCGAGUAUCGAGUUCUCCACUUUGAUUUUCUUGUAAUCAUGUCUUUGUAAUGACUAUAAGAUCAUACCCAUUAACCUCUAUUUAUGUUGUUAAUUCAUUUGUUUUGUUACGAAUACUAUGUUCAUUUAGGUGAAGAAUCAUUAAUUUUGCCUUUAUACAUUUUGUUUCCCCUUUGACCUGAUUUGCUGUUUUGUUUAGGCUUGUAUACUUUAUUCCUUCCUGUCCUACUCUGGCAUCAUUACCAAAAUAGUUGCCCACAAUACUGUCUCCUACCACUAUUGCAUUGCUAUUUUCUUCCCCAACUUGAAUGGCUCCCUGUACUAUGGUUUCGUGGUCAGAUCACUCAUUCGCUGUGUAAUCCUCACUCUUGUUCACACAGCUUGAAAGAACCUUGUAACUGUUGGAUUAUUGCAGGGAGAGAGGCUCCUUGAGAGCUGCCCCUUGGGUGCCCAUACCUGCCUCACUUGCUCCUUGAUCACAGAUGAAAUAGGAAUUACGAAAUCUAACGGGUGUGACCACCUCCUGGAGCAAAGUGUUCAGGAGACUUCAGACUGCCUGCUUUCACCACCACAUUGCCGAUGCUAGGGACUUCCUUCACCGCCGCACUGGGCUUGAUCUCUGACUGUCAAAACCUUGAUCAAGGCCCCUAGCCGCUGCCACACACCAGACCUCUAGCUGAUCUCUACAGUCCUGAUCCAAGCUCCCAGCCGCUGCCAUGCUCUGGACCCAACAAAUCUGCAAUGCAUUGCUGCCGCUGCCUCCAUGACCAAACUCUCUCCAGAAGAUGCUCUUUGGGUGAGCUGAUAUUUCGCCGCGGGGGUCCCCAAGGAUCCGAAAGAAACGGAACAAACAAAACCUGGCGACUCUGGUGGCGGACAGGAGUCCCAGUUUUAUGUUCGAGUCUUGGGAAUAACGUUGCAAGUUUUGUUUUGGAGCUGGACAUGCACACAACGUUUUUUAAUCCGGCUCGCAGGAGCUCUUAUCGUCCGUCUCACGGCGCACACUCCAACUUCCAGGGUAUGAAGGUCGGUCUCCAGGGGCCCAAGCCUGUUACGAAUUGCCCCCAUGUCCAGGUGAGGGCUUCAGGCUCAGGGUUAUGAGCUACAGCUAAAGGCAGUUAGUUAAUCUUUGGUGGUGAUGGCUGAGGAGCUGGAACCUUGAGAGACAGGAACUUCUCAUGGAGGAUCCUUCAGGAAGGCCAUGGGGUUUCCUUGCAGCACACACCAGGAAUGCAUCAGGAAACCACCUAUUCUUUUGAAAAUACGAGGCUCAUAAGAGCAAACAAUGAGGAAAAUGGAAGAAAAAUGCAAGAGAUGGAGAAAUGAGCAGAAGGCUUGCCCUUGUGCAGAUGACAUUGCUCACUGGUUCCUAUCUCUGUCUCUGUCUCUCUCCUGAAGGUACUGGCUCUGACUGGGUGCAGUCUUAUGAUGACUAGAUUCCUUGCUCAGGUCAGUGACAUUCUGAGAAUUAAAUAGUGACAUGUUCAGGACAGGGGACAGGGUCUGGGGAUAAGGGCAGGGCCAAUAAAGGGCCUGUGUUUCCUCUUUAAGGAACAAGUUAAUCAUAUGUGCAGAGUUUUUGAAUCACUGAGUUGAAACAAGCCAAUGAUGGAGGCUAAUCUAAUAAUGCUAAUGGCAUGUCUGAACAGCAUCAUUAUUUUAAUCUUCAACUUUUACAAAAGAGAUAAGCAUGUAUCUUUUUAUUUUUCUGCACUUUACAUCGUAGACUAAAGUGGGAAAAGAACUGCUCUUAAAAAAUGAAGGAUUGUGGAAGAGAUUGUUGCACUUUUUAAAAGCAAGCUAUUAACACAUUGUAAGAAUCAUUUAUCCUGUUGCUUGUUCAACUAGUUGGGGAGCAGGUGCAUUAGUUUCAGGCGAGCUGGAGCCAGGCUAUGUGUAUGAAGAGUCAUUCAGGUAGUAACAAGUAGCUGAUGGUUCUGCUGGGUGGUGACCAGUUGUCAAAAAACUCAAGAAAAUUACAAUUACCAGUAAGGCUGAGUAAAAUUGCUGGAACUGCAAGUUGACAAGUCCUAGGUCCAGAUGGAUUUCAUCUCUGGGUUUUAAGUAGCUAGUGAGACAGUUAAUGCAUUGAUUUUAAUUUCCCAAAGCUCAUCAGAUUCAGAAAAGGUUCGUUUAGAUGGGAAAAUAGCUAACAUUUCAAUUCAAGAAAAGGAGGGGGGAGGGCAGAAAGCUGGAAACUAUAGGCCAGUUAGCUUAAUAUCUGCAUAGGGAAAAUGUUAGAAGCUAUUAUGAACCACAUUAUAACAGGGUACUUGGAUUAGUUUAAGGUAAUCAGAGAGCCAACCUGCUUUAAUAAAAGGGUGUUUAACCAAUUUACUGGAAUUCUUUGAAGAACUGUAGAUAAAGAUGAACCAGUGGAUACUGUAUUUAGGUUUACAGAAGGCAUUUAAUAACAUGCCACAUCAAAGGUUAUUGUGGAAAAUUGAACCUCAUGGUGAAGGGGGUAACAUAUUAGCAUGGAAAAGAAGUCUGGCUGCUAACAGGAGGUUGAGAGUAGGAAUAAAUGGGUCUUUUGUAGGAUGGCAGGAUGUCAUGAGUGGUGUGCCACAGGGUGCUGGUGCCUCAACUCUUUACAAUGUACAUAAAUAAUUUGGAUGAAGGGAUUGAAGGUAGAUAGCUAAUUUUGCUGAUGAUACAAAGGUAGGUAGGAAAGUGAGUUGUGAAGAGGAUGUAAGGAGACUACAAAGAGAUAUGGAUAGGUUCUAGACAGCAUAUUUUUAAGGUGUCAGGAGAAAGAUUUAAAAGGGAUGUGAGGGGCAAAUUGUCACACAGAGGGUGGUUUGUAUGUGGAAUGAACUGCCAGAAGGAAGUGGUAGAUGCAGGUACUGUUACAAUACCAAAAAGAAAUUUGGACAAGUACAAGAAGAGGGAAGGUUUAGAAGGCAACAGGAGGUCUUUGUGAAUGUUGGUACCAGUGACUUGGGUAGGGAAAGGGGUGAGGUUCUGCAGACAGAAUAUCGGAAACUAGACAGGGAAUUAAAAAGUUGUCAAAUAAACCUGUUGGACCAUAACCUGAUGUCAUGUGAUUUCUGACAUAUGUUUGAUGAUGAAGGGUUUCUGCCUGCCAACAAGUAUGUGAUUGGCUCCCAGGUAGCUGAACAGUUUGUGGCUGGUGAAUGAGGUAGACAAAAGCCUUUGCACUUCUGGAACAGGAGAUCCUGCCUUAUGUCAGCAAAAGACAAACAUCAAGUGAACCCUAUGGUCAGAGACCAUUGAAUUGCCUUCCCAGUUUUUCCCCUCCACCAAUCACACCAACUUGUUUGUCUGACUGUAUCAGUGUGUGUGUAGGGGAGUUUUAAGGGGGUUAGAGUUUUAACUACUGGAGUUAUAAAGUUGUUAUACGUAUGGUUCAUAGCUGUUUACCUGUAGCUAGAAUCUAUUUAUUUGUAAUCCUUGUUAUAGAGUCAGAGUCAUGGCCAUGCUGACCAUAAUCCCAAACUAAACAAGUCCCACCUGCCUGCACAUGGCCCAUAUCCCUCCAAACAUUUCUUAUUCAUGUCCUAUCCAAUGUCUUUCAAAUGUUAUAACUGUACUGGCAUCCACCACUCCUCAGGAAGUUCAUUUCAUACACAAACCACUGUAUAAAAAAAACACACAAAACAACGCCCUUGUCUUAUUAAAAUCUCCCUCUUCUCACCUUAAAAAUGUGUCCACCCUAGAGGGAAGGCAUCUGCCAUUCACCUUAUCUAUACCCCUCACGAUUUUAUAAACGUCUAUAAAAGGUCACACCUCAAACUGCUACACUCCCAGUGAAAAAGGACCCAGCCUAUCCAGCCUUUAAUUACAACUCAAACCCUCCAUUCCCAGCAACAUCCUGACAUAUCUGUACAGAAGCCUGUUCCACACUCUCUACCUGGGUCUAAAGGACAUGUAAAUUGGGGAAUUUUGUGUGUUUUGUAUUUUUAUGAAAUCUUUGACUCUUGUGAUGACCCCAAGAACAGCAAGGCUUGAUUUCUAAUGGGUUACCCCAUGAGGCACAACAACAUUGUAAUGUCGUAAUAUGCCCAAGUAAAUCUAACUUUCAAUGUUUGAUCUCAGACUGACCCAUACCGCACCAGCAGCUUCUAAUGUCAUCACACCCUAGUAAAUGGAUAAAUUAUUCAGAAAUCUUCCAGGAGAGUUUGAGAGAUUGUGAAAUAAUAAGAAGACAGUUCUUGUUAGCAUUUACAGUAAGGAUGUAGGGGUCUUUGAUUCUGUUACAGACUCAAUUAAAUUUAACAGGGAAAUGACAAAAAA